AAGACCUGCUAGUGAGCUUUCCUGGGCUCAGGUUGUCACCACCUGGAGUCACUGAGAGUGAAGGUUACACCUAUGGAGCCGUGGCCCCGACUACCAACAAGAUGGCCAUCGCUCUCCCUCUCGUCUUGCAGCUUUGGGGCACAACCUGAAGUCCCUCACAGUCAACGUCACCAUCUCUACCCUCCGGUAUU